GGAUCAUUCUACCUUUUUGGAUAAGAAGUCUGUUUGGCUCAAGUUUUGGGGUAUUCUUUUAUCAGGAUGGAAUUUAACAAUUAUUAAGAAGUUGUCAUCUUGCUUUGGGGUUUACCGAGAUCUUGAUUGGAAUACCUUUCUUAGUCCGUAUUGUAGGUUUGUCCAUGUUAUAGUAGAUUUAUCUGCAAAUUUGGUUAUUCUAGGUUCUAUUGUGCUUAGUGUUAAUGGGGAAUUUUUCCAUAUUUCCAUUACUGAUGAUGGUAAUGCUCCCUUUGGUGGUGCUACUAUGGAAGGAGUACGAAGUGGAGGUCAAUGUUCAGAGCAUAUUAGGCUGACGGAGAACAAGGCUGAAACUUUUCCCGACAGACUUCGGUGCACGGGCAGCGUCGCAAAGGCCGAAAUAGCGAGAGAUUCAAAACUAAAAAAUUUUGAAACUCCUAAAAUCAGGAAACAAUGAAUCCAUGUUGGAAAGUUUCCUGAAAGUUAGAAAGGUUUUUCGAAGGAGUUUUGUUCUCUACCGGACGUUUCAUUAAACGGUAUAGAUUUUGAUUCCGAAGGCUGCGACGCUAUGGGAGAAGGGUUACGCGUAAUUGUC
rnacentral:lncRNA from 1 species